UGGCUCAGUAACACGUGGAGAAUCUAACCUUUGGUGGAGGACAAUCUCGGGAAACUGAGAAUAAUACUCCAUAAACAUAGGAUGCUGGAAUGCUUCUAUGUUGAAAGGCAACGCCAAAGGAUGACUCUGCGACCUAUCAGGCUGUAGUGAGUGUAAUGGACUCACUAACCUGCAACGGGUACGGGUGUUGGAAGACAUUGCCCGGAGAUGGACUCUGAGACAUGAGUCCAGGUUCUACGGAACGCAGCAGGCGCGAAAACUCCGCAAUGUACGAAAGUACGACGGGGGAAUUCUGAGUGCUUACGCCUUGCGUAGGCUGUUUUCUUGUCUAAAAAACAAGGAGAGUAAGGGCUGGGUAAGACGGGUGCCAUCUCGUGCAAUUCUGCACUUAUUGUGUUCGUUGCACGAAGCACAAGCCGCCGCGGUAAUACCCGCGGCCCGAGUGGUGCUCAUUAUUAUUGAGCCUAAAACGUCCGUAGCCGGCUUAAUAAAUUCUUGGGUAAAUCAUAUCGCUUAACGAUGUGAAUUCUGAGAACACUGCUAAACUCGGGAAUGGGAGAGGCCAGAGGUACUUUCAGGGUAGGGGUAAAAUCCCGUAAUCCUGAGAGGACCACCGGUGGCGAAGGCGUCUGGCUAGAACAUAUUCGACGGUAAGGGACGAAGCCCUGGGGCGCAAACGGGAUUAGAUACCCCGGUAGUCCAGGGUGUAAACGCUGUAGAUUUGGUGUUGGAAAUCCUACGGGGAUUCCCAGUGCCGGAGAGAAGUUGUUAAAUCUACUGCUUGGGGAGUACGGUCGCAAGACUGAAACUUAAAGGAAUUGGCGGGGGAGCACCGCAACGGGUGGAGCGUGCGGUUUAAUUGGAUUCAACGCCGAGAAACUC
rnacentral:rRNA from 1 species